GCAUUGGUGGUUCAGUGGUAGACUUCUCACAUUCCAUGUAGGAGAUCUGGGUUCCAUUCCCGGCCAACGCA
rnacentral:tRNA from 1 species